ACGACCCAUUUUCCCAAUUUUCUCCACUUGCAAACCUUCACUUAAGUAUAGUAGUACUUUGAACUCUUUGUGCUUGCUAACGAGUAACGGGAUAACAUAAACAAAUAUCAUCCUUUAUUAAAAAAAAAAAACUUCCUUGGUAUAUGCAAAAUCGCCAAAAAAAACAUUUGAAGCCAGACUAAGAUAAUCCAUGUAGGAGGAACCGUCGUAAGAUUUCC
rnacentral:lncRNA from 1 species